rnacentral:rRNA from 1 species
GACGAACGCUGGCGGCGUGCUUAACACAUGCAAGUCGAACGAAGAGCGAUGGAAGCUUGCUUCUAUCAAUCUUAGUGGCGAACGGGUGAGUAACGCGUAAUCAACCUGCCCUUCAGAGGGGGACAACAGUUGGAAACGACUGCUAAUACCGCAUACGAUCUAACCUCGGCAUCGAGGAAAGAUGAAAGGUGGCCUCUAUGUAUAAGCUAUCACUGAAGGAGGGGAUUGCGUCUGAUUAGCUAGUUGGAGGGGUAACGGCCCACCAAGGCGAUGAUCAGUAGCCGGUCUGAGAGGAUGAACGGCCUCAUUGGGACUGAGACACGGCCCAGACUCCUACGGGAGGCAGCAGUGGGGAAUCUUCCGCAAUGGACGAAAGUCUGACGGAGCAACGCCGCGUGAGUGAUGACGGCCUUCGGGUUGUAAAGCUCUGUUAAUCGGGACGAAAGGCCUUCUUGCGAAUAGUGAGAAGGAUUGACGGUACCGGAAUAGAAAGCCACGGCUAACUACGUG